AUUUGGGUUUGAGUUUAGUUUCUAUCACUUUUUGCCGAAGUAAUACGACAAUACAACAAGGCAUGUUGUCAGUUUCUAUUCUUGAAUUUUCUCAUAACCCAGUUUAUAGAUUGAGUACUGGGGGCAGAGUUUCUGCUAAAGGGUCAGGGAGUCUCCUCAAAAAAUUGUGACCUCUUUCAUAUUCAUCUUGAGGUUUUAUUAAGUUCAGGUUCUGCUACUUUAUCCCUAUUUAGAGGUAUCAGCUGUCUUUCUUUAAAUACCUUGGAUUUUCCUAUUUUCUCACUCCCCUUAUCAGCAUAGGUAAUGAUAAAUCACAUGCACACUGGACUUCCUUCAUAGCAGUCUGUUACCUUUUACAGGUAGUUUUCAGCCUUUUAUCUCUAAAAUAAUGGAAUGAUACACUUUGUUUCUUUUUGAAGUAAAAGUUGGGGAGAAAAAUAUGAAAAUCCCUGGGUGGCUUAGGCACACAUUUCUUUUGCAUCUGAAAUGAUCCAACAUCAAACAUUGUGCCUAGUACACAGAAAGCACUGAGUCUGUUUUGGUUAAAUAUAAUAGCAAAAUUAGUUAACAUUAUUGAGUAUCUGCUAUAUACCAGAUACUGUAUUGGGUAGUCAUUUUAUUUAUGUCUAGUACAAGUUUUAACUUUUACAACUUUUUUGAACAACUUUUCAAAGACCCCAUUAUUAUCCCCAUUAUAAAUGAGCACAGAUGGAGGGCUUGCCCAAGGCCACACAACUAAUAAGAUUCUCCAAAUCUUACUACUCUGUCACCAUUUUCCACCAAAGCACCAAACACGGAUGACUUACUGCUGUAAGGGGGGGGGGGGGUCUUGAAGAGUUUGACCUAAAGCUGCCACCAUAAACUUGAUGUUACACGAAGGCUUGUACGUAAUGACAUUUAUGUGAUAUUUUCAAUCCACUGUGUUUCAUGCAAAACAAUUACAUGACAAUGAAAAUAUCUGGUAUAUCAGGCACCCCUGGAAGGCAUGCCGUUCCUGCCCUGGCUUGGUUUGUAGCAGGCUGGCAGGGGAGGGGUUGAGUGGGUGAAUUUGUUCCCAUAGCUCUCCAGCCUGCAGCAUCAAGCUGCUGAAAGCUGCUGAAAGCUUCUUGGGAUAGAAACAUCUUGGUCUUUCCUCGUUUCUUCACAUAACUGACUACUCUUUGAUUUUCUCACUCCUCUGCCCAGUGCCCUCUGAUUCUAGGAAUUAAGAGCCUAUUCUAAGUCCCUCUCCUUCCAUCCUUAACUAGCAUUAUCUCUUCCAUGCCAUCCCCCCCUCCACAGCAGUCAUCCGUGGAGCAUUGCUCAUAGGACAUAUGAGGCGAUGAAUGGGGACACAUUCUUUGGAUUAAUAAUAAUAUUAUCAUUAGCUAAUCUCUUUUGCUAAGCAUUUUACAUAUUUUAUCAUUAAUCAUUAUACUAAUCCUGCAAGAUAUAUGUUAUUUUCCAUUUCUCUAUUUUUUUUUUCUUUCUUGAGAUAGGGUCUCACUCUACCACCCAGGCUGGAGUGCAGUAGCAUGAUUUUGCCUCACUGUAACCUCUGCCUCCUGGGUUCGAGUGAUUUUUGUGCCUCAGCCUCCCGAUUAACUGGGAUUACAGGCACGUGCUACCACGCCUGGCUAGUGGUAUUUUCUAUUUCAUAGAUGAGAAAACUGAGACUCAGAUGAGUUAUGAGCUUUCAAACUCUUCCGAGCUCCAAUGUGGAAGACCCAAGAUUCACACUCAGAUCUGUUGAUCACAGGGAUUAUACUAUCUUGACAAGGGCAACCAUCUCUGCCUUCAAAAAAGACCACAGGGAUGUUGGAAUACAUUGUUUACAUGGAACUUGUAGCAAGACCAUCAAAGGGAAUUUUACAUAUUAGGCAAUACAAACCACUUUUGCUUUAAAAUGUGCAUAGUGAUAAAUAAAAAGUACACAGUACUCAGAAAACUCAUAGCUUUUACAUUUGAUCAUAGAUCCCAAAGCAAUUAUAAAGUAAGAACUGAAACACUAAAACACGGUUUUACUGUAUGAAAACAAUACCAGUUGUGAUCAGUUAUGUAAGCUGCUAACAAUUUGUGAACAACUCCCAUGUUGCACAAUAACUUUGCUUCACUUAAUGGCACAUUUAUUGCUAGAAAUGAGCACCCUUUAAUUUGCCCAGCUCCUUCUGUUCAGGAGGAAGUACCUGGUGUCCUCUCCUCUGUCCUGUUCAGGACACUGAGGGCCUCCUCGGUGGCUGAGGCAUUGGAUGGACUGACACCUCACCACACUGCCUCUCCCUGUGGGCCACUCCUGUGUUGCCACUCUGGCCUUGGAUGGCAGGAUCCAGCUCUGCACUGUUUUCCAAGUUCCUUGGGUUGCACCAAGCUUAAGUCCAUUUCUUUGUAGGGAUUCCUCAUCUAAGUUUAAAAAUUACCAGAGUCCAGACUUAUUUGGGACACAUCA
rnacentral:lncRNA from 10 species